rnacentral:rRNA from 1 species
GUUUGAUCCUGGUUCAGAAUGAACGUUGGCGGCGUGGAUUAGGCAUGCAAGUCGAACGGGCCUGAUAGCAAUAUCAGGUCAGUGGCGUAAGGGUGAGUAAGGCGACGGCAACCAACCCCAUGGUUGGGCAUAGCCGCGGGAAACUGCGGGUAAUUCCCAGCGAAGUUCAUACCGGGCAUCCGGUGUGAACCAAAGUUCUGGCGCCGUGGGACGGGCCGUCGUGGUAUUAGGUAGUUGGCGGGGUAAUGGCCCACCAAGCCUCUGAUGCCUACCGGGCGUGCGAGCGUGGCCCGGCACACUGGGACUGAGACACUGCCCAGACUCCUACGGGAGGCUGCAGUCGAGAAUCUUCGGCAAUGGGCGCAAGCCUGACCGAGCGACGCCGCGUGGAGGAUGAAGGCCUUCGGGUUGUAAACUCCUGUCGAGGGGGAGGAAGGGGUAACCUUGACCUAUCCCUGGAGGAAGCACGGGCUAAGUUCGUGCCAGCAGCCGCGGUAAGACGAACCGUGCGAAUGUUAUUCGGAAUCACUGGGCUUAAAGCGCGUGUAGGCGGAUGGGGACGUCGGUAGCUGAAAUCCCCCGGCUCACCGGGGGAGUGGCGC